UACAGAGGGUGCAAGCGUUAAUCGGAAUUACUGGGCGUAAAGCGCACGCAGGCGGUUGGUUAAGUCAGAUGUGAAAGCCCCUGGCUCAACCUGGGAAUUGCAUUUGAAACUGGCCAACUAGAGUACGUGAGAGGGGGGUAGAAUUCCAAGUGUAGCGGUGAAAUGCGUAGAGAUUUGGAGGAAUACCAGUGGCGAAGGCGGCCCCCUGGCACGAUACUGACGCUCAGGUGCGAAAGCGUGGGGAGCAAACAGG
rnacentral:rRNA from 1 species